AAAAAAUGACUCUCGGCAACGGAUAUCUCGGCUCUUGCAUCGAUGAAGAACGUAGCGAAAUGCGAUACUUGGUGUGAAUUGCAGAAUCCCGUGAACCAUCGAGUCUUUGAACGCAAGUUGCGCCCUAAGCCUUUGGGCCGAGGGCACGUCUGCCUGGGUGUCACGC
rnacentral:rRNA from 1 species